AGAGUUUGAUCAUGGCUCAGAUUGAACGCUGGCGGUAUGCUUAACACAUGCAAGUCGAACGCGAAAGCACCUUCGGGUGUAAGUAGAGUGGCGGACGGGUGAGUAAGGCAUGGGAAUCUGCCCUAUAGCGGGGGAUAACUUGGGGAAACCCAAGCUAAUACCGCACACACCUACGGGUAAAAGAUGGCCUCUUCUUGAAAGCUAUUACUAUAGGAUGAGCCCAUGUAAGAUUAGCUAGUUGGUAGGGUAAAAGCCUACCAAGGCUACGAUCUUUAGCUGGUCUGAGAGGACGAUCAGCCACACUGGGACUGAGACACGGCCCAGACUCCUACGGGAGGCAGCAGUGGGGAAUAUUGGACAAUGGGGGCAACCCUGAUCCAGCAAUACCGCGUGUGUGAAGAAGGCCUGCGGGUUGUAAAGCACUUUUAUCUGUGAGGAAGGGUUUAAUGUUAAUACCAUUAGACAUUGACG
rnacentral:rRNA from 1 species